rnacentral:rRNA from 1 species
CGUAGGUGGCGAGCGUUUGUCCGGAAUUAUUGGGCGUAAAGGGAGCGCAGGCGGGAGGUCAAGUCUAUCUUAAAAGUGCGGGGCUCAACCCCGUGAGGGGAUGGAAACUGGUCUUCUUGAGUGCAGGAGAGGAAAGCGGAAUUCCUAGUGUAGCGGUGAAAUGCGUAGAUAUUAGGAGGAACACCAGUGGCGAAGGCGGCUUUCUGGACUGUAACUGACGCUGAGGCUCGAAAGCGUGGGGAGCGAA